rnacentral:snRNA from 1 species
AUAGGGUAAAUGGCAGGGGAGAUUCCAUGACCAUGAAGGUGGUUUUCCCAGGGCGCGGCUCACCCAUUGCACUCAGGACGUGCUGACGUCUGCGAUUUCCCCAAAUGUGGGAAACUCGACUGCAUAAUCUCUGGUAGUGGGGGACUAUGUUUGUACUCUCCCCUG